GCUGACGAGUGGCGGACGGGUGAGUAAUGUCUGGGAAACUGCCUGAUGGAGGGGGAUAACUACUGGAAACGGUGGCUAAUACCGCAUAACGUCGCAAGACCAAAGAGGGGGACCUUCGGGCCUCUUGCCAUCAGAUGUGCCCAGAUGGGAUUAGCUUGUUGGUGAGGUAACGGCUCACCAAGGCGACGAUCCCUAGCUGGUCUGAGAGGAUGACCAGCCACACUGGAACUGAGACACGGUCCAGACUCCUACGGGAGGCAGCAGUGGGGAAUAUUGCACAAUGGGCGCAAGCCUGAUGCAGCCAUGCCGCGUGUAUGAAGAAGGCCUUCGGGUUGUAAAGUACUUUCAGCGGGGAGGAAGGGAGUAAGGUUAAUAACCUUAUUCAUUGACGUUACCCGCAGAAGAAGCACCGGCUAACUCCGUGCCAGCAGCCGCGGUAAUACGGAGGGUGCAAGCGUUAAUCGGAAUUACUGGGCGUAAAGCGCACGCAGGCGGUCUGUCAAGUCGGAUGUGAAAUCCCCGGGCUCAACCUGGGAACUGCAUUCGAAACUGGCAGGCUUGAGUCUUGUAGAGGGGGGUAGAAUUCC
rnacentral:rRNA from 1 species